rnacentral:tRNA from 2 species
ACAGUCGUGGCCGAGUGGUUAAGGCGACGGACUAGAAAUCCACUCCGCACAGGCUCAAAUCCUGUCGACUGCG